rnacentral:tRNA from 1 species
GCCGACGUGCGACAAUGGUACUCGGGCGGUCUUGAGAACCGCUUUCCUUCGGGAUUUCCAGGUUCGAUUCCUGGCGUCGGCG